CCUACGGGAGACAGCAGUGAGGAAUAUUGGUCAAUGGACGAGAGUCUGAACCAGCCAAGUAGCGUGAAGGAUGACUGCCCUAUGGGUUGUAAACUUCUUUUAUAUGGGAAUAAAAUGUUCCACGUGUGGGAUUUUGUAUGUACCAUAUGAAUAAGGAUCGGCUAACUCCGUGCCAGCAGCAGCGGUAAUACGGAGGAUCCGAGCGUUAUCCGGAUUUAUUGGGUUUAAAGGGAGCGUAGGUGGAUUGGUAAGUCAGUUGUGAAAGUUUGCGGCUCAACCGUAAAAUUGCAGUUGAAACUGGCAGUCUGGAGUACAGUAGAGGUGGGCGGAAUUCGUGGUGUAGCGGUGAAAUGCUUAGAUAUCACGAAGAACUCCGAUUGCGAAGGCAGCUCACUGGACUGCAACUGACACUGAGGCUCGAAAGUGUGGGUAUCAAACAGGAUUAGAUACCCGAGUAGUC
rnacentral:rRNA from 1 species